rnacentral:misc_RNA from 1 species
GGCAUAAAGGGCAANGAGAGCCUGUAAGCGGGCACUCUUCCGUGGUCUGGUGGAUAAAUUCGCAAGGGUAUCAUGGCGGACGACCGGGGUUCGAACCCCGGAUCCGGCCGUCCGCCGUGAUCCAUGCGGUUACCGCCCGCGUGUCGAACCCAGGUGUGCGACGUCAGACAACGGGGGAGCGCUCCUUUUGGCUUACUUCCAGGCGCGGCGGCUGCUGCGCUAGCUUUUUUUGGUCACUGGCCGCGCUCGGCGUAAACGGUUAGGCUGGAAAAGCAAAAUCUUAAAUGGCUCGUUCCCUGUCCCCUUACGGUAAUU